rnacentral:rRNA from 1 species
UCUGCAAAGAUUAAGCCAUGCAUGUCUAAGCACAAACUAUUAUAAAGUGAAGCCGCGAAAAGCUCAUUACAACAGCCGUCGUUUCUUGGAUCUCCGAAUUUACUUGGAUAACUGUGGUAAUUCUAGAGCUAAUACAUGCAAUCGAGCUCUGAACGUAAGUGAUGGGCGCAUUUAUUAGUAACAAAACCAAUCGGUUACUUGUAACCGUGGUUUGGUGAAUCUGAAUAACUUAGCAGAUCGCUUCGGUCUUUGUACCGGCGACAUAUCUUUCAAGUGUCUGUUUUAUCAACUUUCGAUGUUAGUUUAUGUGACUAACAUGGUUGUCACGGAUAACGGAGAAUAAGGGUUCGACUCCGGAGAGGGAGCCUGAGAAACGGCUACCACUUCCAAGGAAGGCAGCAGGCC